GGAAUACAAAAAAAUGCUGGCAAAGGUGGAAUACAGAGGACUCCAAAAAUACAUCAAAGUUCCACAAAGUGAUGGAAACUUUGAUUUCCUCCAGUUUCUUCAAGAAGUAACAAACAAAUUCAGUCUGCAGGCUCAUCUUCUAACUGAAGGUGAGCUUAGACUGAAUGAUGAGUCUGGUACUGAGAUCGACGCAGAUGUGUUUGAUGAGCUCUUAAAGUCAGGGGUCCGAAAGUUUAAGGUUGUAUACCAUCAGUAUGUAGCUACAGCUCCUCUGGUCCCUGGAUGAAGCCUGAAAAUAACACUUUGUUGAAGACAGACAGCACAUGGGGACUGUGUGUUUACUGUCCUGGGUCUGUGCUAAAGGCUUCCACUGGGAGUGAACACUCUUGGGCUUUUCAGUUCAUGACACAAUUUUGUACGCCCUUUUGACUAUGACGCCUCUUACUUUGUUAAUUCUUCUCUCCUGUGUUAUGUGUUAAAUGGUCCAGUAUAAUACAAUUCCACUGAUUAAUUUCCAAAUGUUGAAGACUCUAAAAUAUUUCCCCUUAAAAGAAAAUAUAUUUAGCAAAACUGAGAACGGCCGUGUACAUUUUUACCAUGUGUCAACUUCUAUUGUUCCAAUGCACACUUUUUCUAUUUUUUUUAUAUUCUUUUUUGUGUGUUUUCAUGCUAAGUUCUAAAAAAAAUGAUGGUGACUUGUCAUUUUUCAUCACCCAAAAAACACCAGACAUUGGAACUAUGCAAUAUUUAUCAUAGGAAAUUAUUUUCCUAUGAUUUUCCUAAGUCACUUUGAAUCAAUUCCGGUUCUAAAAUAGAGAGCUGCAAGGCUCAGUCCAAGGCCAAAGUACUACAAUUGCUACAUCAGUGGUUACAAAUGGCCCCCUUAUACCUUGCCUCAUAUACCAGCUUCACAGGCCUAGACGUUGCCAUGUUUUUUCUAAUAUUUACAUGACUCACAUUUACACCACUUUUUCGUUAGGCCCAUACAUAAAUCACUUUCUCAAAGUAAGAAAUACAGCUUGAGCUUCUCUGGUAGAGGCAUGAUACUUAUUCCAAAGUAGCAGCUAAAACCCAAAAGAGACAGAGCGCCCCCAGUCAAUGUCCCAUGACUCUGGAACAACCUGUUGAAGGAGAUCAUGUGUUCUAGUUCAGUUUCUUAUCAGCCAGUUCUUAUCCCUGGGGUGUCAAAUACCAACACCUACCAAACCCUCAGCAUAUCAUACUGAUACACUAUGGUAACUCUCAGCAUGUGCAUAAGCUGCACUGUUCUUUCAACUAAAUGUAAUGCAACUCCCAGUAGUAUUUCAUGCAGCCCUUUGCAAAAUAGAAACAAGGCUGCGAAUGUGCAGUUGGGGUGGAGAUGAACUAAAGAACACCAGGGGACUGUACAUAGUUGUUAAACCAACGGUCUAUGGUGUAUUGUUGGUUAUUGUCUAAACCUGUCCCAAGAUGUUUCAAUGAACUACAAAGACUUUUUUUUUCCAGGAAGUAACAGAAAACCUAGUAAACAGACAGUUGAAUGCAAACAAUGUAUUUUACUUUAAGCUAAUGAAUGACACUCCAAAGGGUUGUUCAUUUUUGACCUGGAAUGAUUAAAAAAGGGAUUUGAAAACCC